rnacentral:rRNA from 1 species
GUCUAUUUGAAGUUAUAAAAAGUCUAACCUGCCCACUGAAUAAAGUUGUUUUAAGGGCCGCGGUAUUAUGACCGUGCAAAGGUAGCAUAAUCAUUAGGUUUUUAAAUGGGAUCUUGCAUGAACGGUUGGACAAAGAGAAAGCUGUCUUAUUUUAAAGUUUGAAUUUUAUUUUUAAGUGAGAAGGCUAAAAUGGUUUAGAGGGACGAUAAGACCCUAUAAAGCUUUACAUUGUAAUUAUAUUUGAUUAAAUUAAAAAAAAUAAAAAUUUAAUGUAGUUAUUUGUUUUAUUGGGGAGAUAAAAGUAUAAAUUAUAUUAACUGCUUUUAAAAAAAAUAUAAAUAAGUAAAAAAAAAUAAUAGAUCCUUUAUAAAGAUUAAAAGAUUAAGUUACUUUAGGGAUAACAGUGUAAUUUUUUUUGAGAGUUCAUAUUGAAAAAGAAGUUUGCAACCUCGAUGUUGAAUUAAAAAGUCUAUAUAAUGUAGUUGUUAUAUAAGAGGGUCUGUUCGACCUUU